rnacentral:rRNA from 1 species
GUAUUCCGCUCCAUAGCGUAUAUUAAAGUUGUUGCAGUUAAAAAGCUCGUAGUUGAAUUUCGGAAUCGACGGAUUGGUCGCGCCUUCGGUGUGUACUGGUCUUGCCGGUUUCUCCCUUCUGACGAACCACGAUGUCAUUAAUUUGGUGUCGUGGGGAAUCAGGACUGUUACUUUGAAAAAAUUAGAGUGUUUAAAGCAGGCAUUAGCUUGAAUACAUUAGCAUGGAAUAAUGAAAUAGGACGUUUGAUCUUAUUUUGUUGGUUUCUAGGAUCGACGUAAUGAUUAAUAGGGAUAGUUGGGGGCAUUAGUAUUCAAUUGUCAGAGGUGAAAUUCUUGGAUUUAUUGAAGACUAACUACUGCGAAAGCAUUUGCCAAGGAUGUUUUCAUUAAUCAAGAACGAAAGUUAGGGGAUCGAAGACGAUCAGAUACCGUCGUAGUCUUAACCAUAAACUAUGCCGACUAGGGAUCGGAUGAUGUUAAUUUUUUAAUGACUCAUUCGGCACCUUACGGGAAAAC